rnacentral:lncRNA from 10 species
UCUAAAGGCAAGAGAUUUUUCCCCAAGAAGCAAACAAACAAAUUGCAUUUGUAAUUUAAUUUUUUAUAACAACUUGAGAUAAAAUCUACAUACCACACAGUUCAAACAUUCAAAGUAUACAAUUCAGUGGUUUUUAGUAUAUUCAGAGUUGUGCCACCAUUACCACAAUCAACUUUACAACGUUUACAUCACCCCAAAAAAGAAACCCCAUACUAAUUAGCAGUCACCCCUUUGUCCUCCCCAACCCUUCAGCCUAAGCAACCACUAAUCUGCCUUCUCUCUAUAUAUAUUCGCCUGUUCUGGACAUUUCAUAUAAAUGAAAUCAUAUAAUAUGUGGCCUUUCAUGUCUGGCAUUCUUCACUUGAUAUGUUUUCAAGGUUUUUCCAUGUUGUGGUGCAUAUCAGUACUUCAUCUCUUUUUUUAUUGCUGAAUAAUAUUCCUUGUAUGGAUAUGCCACGUUUUGUUUAUUCACUUGUUAGUUGAUAGAAAUUAGGGCUGUUUCAAUUUUGGGCUAUUAUAAAUAAUGCUGCAAAGAACAUCUGUGCACAAGUUUUUGUGUAGACAUUUGUUUUUAUAUCACGUGGGUAUCCACCAACAGUGCAUGAGGGUUCCAAUUUCUCUGCAUCCUCACCAACACUUGAUAUUAUCACUUUGAUUAUAUAUCUAUUCCAGUGAGUGUUAAGUGAUAUCUCAUUGUAGAUCUCAUUUGCAUUUCCCUGAUGGCUAGUGAUGUUGAGAACCUUUUCAUGUGCUUAUUGGCCUUUUGUGUAUCUUCUUUGGAGAACUGUUAAUUCAGAUCUCUUGUUGAUUUUUAAAAAUUGAAUUAUAUGCCUUUUAAUUAUUAUUGUAACAGUUCUUUACAUAUUCUAAAUACAAAUUCCUCCCUUAACUAAUACAUGAUUUUAAAAAAAAUUAUCUCAUUCUGUGGGUUGUAUUUUUGCUUUCUUGAUAUUGUCCUUGGAAACACAAAUGGUUUUAAUUUUAAUUUACCUAUUUUCUUCUUUUGUUGCUUGUGUUUUUAGUGUCAUUUAUUUAAGAAAUCAUUGCCUAAUUCAAAGUCAGAAAGAUUUACGCCAUGUUUUCUUUGAAGAUACUUACAAUAUUAGCUCUUACAUUUAGAUCUUAGGUCAACUUUGAGUUAAUUUUUAUUCUUUCUGAUGCUGUCAAUUUUUUUCUUUUCUUUUUUGUUUUUUUUGAGUCAAGGUCUAACUCUGUCAUCCAGGCUGGAUUGCAGUGACCCAGUUAUAGCUCAUUGCAGCUUCGAACUUUGGGGCUCAAGCCAUCCUUACACCUCAGCCUCUGAGUAGCUGAGACGACAGAUGAGUGUCAUCACAUCCAGCUGUUUUUUGUUUGCUUGUUGUUUUUUGUUUGUUUGUUUUUGUAGAGAUGGGAUCUCACUGUUUCCCAGGCUGGUCUCCUGGCCUCUAGCAGUCUUUCUGCCUCAGACUCCCAAAGUGUUGGGAUUACAGGCACAAGCCACCAAGCUUGACCAUUGUUGAAAAUUAAAUUGUUUUCUUAACAUCAUUUUUGAUUUAUUCAUUGAUACUAUAUUGAAAGAUAACCAAUUUCUGCAUAUUUAAUCCUGUAUCCUGUAACUUUGCUGAAUUUAUUUAUUAAUAAAUCAUGCCUUUGGAUUUUCUAUAGUUUUCCCUUGGAUUACUAUGCACAAAACCACCAUAUCGUCUCCCAUCUCUAUUUAGUUAUACUUCUUCCUUUCCAACCUAGAUGACUUUUAUUUUAUUUUCUUGCCUAAUUGCCCUUUCUUGACUGUCCAGUACAAGUUGAAUAGAAAUGGCCAAAGCAGACAUCCUUGUCUUGUUUCUGAUCUCAGGGGGAAAUAAUCCAGUCCUUCACCAUUAAGUAUGAUGCUAACCAUGGGUUCUUCAUAGAUGCCCUUUAUCAGGUUGAGGAAGUUUCCUUCUAUUCCUAGUUUGUUGAGGGUUUUUUAUUUUUUAUUUUUUAUUGUGAAAGGGUGUUGAAUUUUGUUAAAUACUUUUCCUGUGCCUAAUGAAGUGAUCUUGUAAAUUGUAAUUUAAUCUUAUCUAUUCU